rnacentral:tRNA from 4 species
GGCUCCUUGGUCAAGCGGUUAAGACACCGCCCUUUCACGGCGGUAACACGGGUUCGAUUCCCGUCGAGACCG